GAAAGCCACCAUGCUGGGUAAA
rnacentral:miRNA from 1 species